rnacentral:lncRNA from 15 species
UAUAUUACAGAUGAAUUAAUGUUACUGCGUUGACUCUAAAAAUCUUUUUUCAACAUAUUCUGUAAAGAAAUAACACAAAACCUUUUAUGGUGGACAGGCGGUAACAUUUAUGGGUUGUAAUAUAAAGGAGGGUUGGGCAGACGAACAAAAUUCAUAUCACUGUAAUUUUUAAGAUUCUGGCAGUUUGAUGAUAUAUCACCUUUUUAUUUAAGUUUUAUUUAUUUAUUUAUUUUCAUUACUCAGCCUUUAAAUAGGCUCAUAUAUAAUUUACAGGUAGUAACAUCGGUGCAGUAGAGACAUCUCAGUUGAGUCAGAAAUGUAAAAAUAAUAUUAUAAAUGUAUUUUAUAUAGUGCAGUCAGUUAAACGCGUUAUUAACGGCGUACAUUUUUUAUCGUGAGAUUAACGUUCUUUUUGGCCUAGCACACUUUGUAGUUUUUUCACAUGCUGUUGCAACAACUAGUAACGUUACAAAAACUACAACACCACACCGGAUCUAGCUAGACCGGAAACAAAACAACAGGCACGCCGCACACACUUGUUUAAGAGUAGUUCCUCCAAAAAAAACAAAAAUACGAAGUACUCAAAGGGAUCAGUGGGAAAACGAAGGCAGAUAUUCUCUGUAUCAUGAUACAAAAAAUAAAAGACUCAAAGUGGCCAUCAAACAACUUCAACAGGAGAACUUUGGGGAAUACGAGUGUGAAUUUUAUCAAGGACAGAACUCAUAAGACGAAGUUAAAGUUAAAGUGAAAGCUGAUGGCUGCCAGGGAUUUCUUCAAACUGCGUACAGAACGACUAAAACCACCAUCACAUGUGAUUAUCCAGGAAACAAACACAGGUCCAGUGUCAAGUUUAUCUGCAGAGAGAAUAAUUUCACUUGUGAGGAGAUUUUAUCAACGAGAUCUUCUGUAAAGUCAAACGGGACCUUCAAUCUCACAGAAACCAACAGAGGAUUCAGUGUGUCCAUCAGUAAUGUGUCCUCACAUGAUGCUGGUCUCUACUGGUGUGGAGUGAAUAAAGGAAAUUACCGAACUGGACUCAGAAAAAUCCAACUGAAGGUUGAAGAUAUUAGGACAUUCACAAAGUCUCCAACUAUUGGACAGAAUUUUACAUACUGGUGUGAAUAUAAAAAUGAUCCUCCGAUAAAGAAAUUCAUCUGUAAGGGAGAAGAUCCAUCUAUAUGUCAACCACUGAUCACUACACAGCAAAAGAAGAACACAAAGUUUUCCAUGAAGGAAGACAAAGAGAAGAGAAAUAUCACCAUAACAGUGAGAGAAGUAACAGCAGACGACAGUGGGACAUACUGGUGUGGAGCAGAAAGCACUGACAGAAGACGCAGUAACACAUUCUUCCACAGAUUCUUGAUGACUGUAGUGUCAACAAUUCCCUCUUCAACCUCAUCACCACCUGUAACACAACCAGCUACUGUUUCUAAUGACGCCUUUGAUCUCACAUCUGUGCAGACCAUUGCUCUGGCUCUCUCUCUGGAUGUGCUGCUGUUGCUGCUGAUGCUCACUUCAUACUUCAUCUACACACGUUUUGCACCUUGUAAGAAAACAAGGAGAGGAGCAUGAAGGAAAAGCAAACAGAGGUGAAGAAGGCACAGGAGGGAGUGUGGGUUGGUGUGCGAGUCCCAGAGUCUCCAGUGUGCACAGCUUAACCCCGGUAUCCAGUCAGCCAGGCCCCAGUUUUGUUUUAGUUUUCAUGUUUAGCCUCUACUUGUACUGGCUUGUAUGUAUUAUUAGUAUUAUGUAUUAUGCUACUUGAGUCAGUGUUUGUAAUGUGUCUGUUCAGAACAUGGUGGUCUAUGUUGGUUAUAGUUUUAACCAUUAGUGAGCGGCCUGUUACAUUUGAUGACCUCUGCUGUAUAUAGCAUAUAUUGUCUAUAAUCAUGUAAAUAAUUGACAUGAAACUCACUGUCAGACUCUUAGUUUCCAUCUCAUAGCACAAUAUUAGCAGUUGAUAAAAACAUGCAUAUGAAAUCUAGAUUGGCAUGUGGAUCGGCAUCGUUGGUCUGAUAUCCAAUGAGUGAAUUACUUCAGUAUCUGCCCCCAAUACCGAUACUGGAUCCGAUCAGUCCCAUCUCUACAUAUUAAUGUGUCAGUCCUGGCUUUACUGGUCCAGAUUGAGGACAAGGUUGGAUAUCAUGACAUGAAAAUGUACAGUUAGAAUCUAAAUUAUAACAAAGAUAUGGAUUAAAUUCUGGAUUUUAGUCUUCAGUUAGUGUCUUUAUUCUCACUAGUAAGCACUUGGCAAAAAGUGAGGUUUAGGUUUAGUUUAUUUACACAAAUAAAAUAACCACAGUCAGUACUACUUUUGCAUUAGUUUUUUAAGACUUGAACCAAACAUCAAACAACCAAACAUCCUGCCUACAGCCUCACCAGCAGACUGAUAUUAAUGUAAUUUAUAUUCUGUAUAUAAAGUUUAUACUAUGUGCAAUAUGUUAUGCAUCAGUUGUUGUUUCAUUGUUUAAAGAUGAAUCUUUUUGAAAUGUUAAUUUUUUACUAAAAUACUGCAUUUGUACAAUGUGUCACUUUUUUCUUUGAACAUAUUUCAACACUAUAUUUGAUUAACAAAAAUAGUUUAUAUAAUGAUAUUAAUGGUGGUUUACACUCCGCUGCAGGAGAGAGAGGUGUGGGGAAGGCCUGGGAGAGCAGUGCCAGGUGAGUUGACGAUCACAGCUGCUACUCAUUGAGUAAACACUCUUCCCUUAUAUUGCAGUAGUGUGCUGAGAGCGAGCGUGAGAGUCGUAUGAAGUUGUUGUGUAUUAUCUGUUGUGACAGCGACGCUUGAAAUAAAAGUUGUGUGGUACAACGGCCCAGUGUGUGAGAUUGUGUGCUGUGG